GCCAGCCCGCUCAGAACUUAAAGGAAUUGGACGGGGCCCGCACAAGCGGUGGAGCAUGUGGUUUAAUUCGAUGAUACGCGAGGAACCUUACCUGGGCUCGAACGUAAGAUGACUGUAGGUGAAAGCUUACAUCUCUUCGGAGCAUUUUACGAGGUGCUGCAUGGUUGUCGUCAGCUCGUGCCGUGAGGUGUCGGGUUAAGUCCCAUAACGAGCGCAACCCCUACCUUUAGUUGCCAUCAGGUAAUGCUGGGGACUCUAAAGGAACUGCCUACGCAAGUAGUGAGGAAGGCGGGGAUGACGUCAAAUCAGCACGGCCCUUACGUCCAGGGCUACACACGUGCUACAAUGGCCGAUACAGAGGGCAGCUACCUGGUGACAGGAUGCAAAUCUCCAAAGUCGGUCUCAGUUCGGAUCGGAGUCUGCAACCCGACUCCGUGAAGUUGGAUUCGCUAGUAAUCGCGCAUCAGCCAUGGCGCGGUGAAUACGUUCCCGGGCCUU
rnacentral:rRNA from 1 species